GCGCAAGCCUGAUGCAGCGACGCCGCGUGAGGGAUGACGGCCUUCGGGUUGUAAACCUCUGUUAGCAUCGAAGAAGCGAAAGUGACGGUAGGUGCAGAGAAAGCGCCGGCUAACUACGUGCCAGCAGCCGCGGUAAUACGUAGGGCGCGAGCGUUGUCCGGAAUUAUUGGGCGUAAAGAGCUUGUAGGCGGUUGGUCGCGUCUGCUGUGAAAGGCUGGGGCUUAACCCUGGUUUUGCAGUGGGUACGGGCUAACUAGAGUGCAGUAGGGGAGACUGGAAUUCCUGGUGUAGCGGUGGAAUGCGCAGAUAUCAGGAGGAACACCGAUGGCGAAGGCAGGUCUCUGGGCUGUAACUGACGCUGAGAAGCGAAAGCAUGGGGAGCGAACAGGAUUAGAUACCCUGGUAGUCCAUGCCGUAAACGUUGGGCACUAGGUGUGGGGGACAUUCCACGUUUUCCGCGCCGUAGCUAACGCAUUAAGUGCCCCGCCUGGGGAGUACGGCCGCAAGGCUAAACUCAAAGAAAUUGACGGGGGCCCGCACAAGCGGCGGAGCAUGCGGAUUAUUCGAUGCA
rnacentral:rRNA from 1 species